AUUGAACGCUGGCGGAAUGCUUUACACAUGCAAGUCGAACGGCAGCACGGACUUCGGUCUGGUGGCGAGUGGCGAACGGGUGAGUAAUGUAUCGGAACGUGCCCAGUCGUGGGGGAUAACGUAGUGAAAAUUACGCUAAUACCGCAUACGAUCUAUGGAUGAAAGCGGGGGAUCGCAAGACCUCGCGCGAUUGGAGCGGCCAAUAUCAGAUUAGGUAGUUGGUGGGGUAAAGGCCCACCAAGCCAACGAUCUGUAGCUGGUCGGAGAGGACGACCAGCCACAAUUGAACUGAGACACGGACCAAGCUCCUACGGGAUGCAGCAGUGGGGAAUUUUGGACAAUGUGCGAAAGCCUUAUCCUGCCAUUCCGCGUGCAGGAUGAAGGCCCUCGGGUUGUAAACUGCUUUUGUACAGAACGAAAAGGUUUCUACUAAUACUAGGAGCUCAUGACGGUACUGUAAGAAUAAGCACCGGCUAACUACGUGCCAGCCGCCGCCGUAA
rnacentral:rRNA from 1 species